GGCAGGCCUCCUUGAGCUGUGGUGGGCUCCACCCAGUUCGAGCUUCCUGGCUGCUUUGUUUACCUAAUCAAGCCUGGGCAAUGGCGGGCGCCCCUCCCCCAGCCUCGCUGCCGCCUUGCACUUUGAUCUCAGACUGCUGUGCUAGCAAUCAGCGAGACUCCGUGGGUGUAGGACCCUCCGAGCCAGGUGCGGGAUAUAAUCUUGUGGUGUGCCAUUUUUUAAGCCCAUCGGAAAAGCGCCGUAUUCGGGUGGGAGUGACCCGAUUUUCCAGGUGCCAUCUGUCACCCUUUUCUUUGACUCAGAAAGGGAACUUGCUGACCCCUUGCGCUUCCCAAGUGAGGCAAUGCCUCGCCCUGCUUCGGCUCACGCACAGUGCGCCCACCCACUGACCUGCGCCCACUGUCUGGCACUCGCUAGUGAGAUGAACCCGGUACCUCAGAUGGAAAUGCAGAAAUCACCCGUCUUCUGCGUCGCUCAGGCUGGGAGCUGUAGACCAGAGCUGUUCCUAUUCGGCCAUCUUCUGGUGCUACAUUUUAAAAGAGAAAGAAAAACUACAUAUACAGUAAGACAUUCUGUGCUGGGAGGAGAGCAGAGGAUCCAGGGAGCAGAUUGCAGGGAGCUUCACUGAAGCAAGAUGACCGUGAUGCUGGAGAAGAGCCCUUGAGAUGGAACAGAAAUUCUAUGGCAGUACUGGCUGUGCCUGAGAAACCUCCUGCCACUCAAGCCCAGCAAGUCUUAUGAAGCAAGCUGCCUACAGAAAUGUCCAUGUGUCAGGAAACUGAAGCUGGCUCAUGGUCAGCAGCCAGCAAGCUACAAAGGGCUUCCAACAGCCCAUGAAGCACUGAGUCCUGCCAAAAGCCACGUGCAUGAGCUUAGAAGAGCUUCAUCCUCCAGGCUAGGAAAGAGACAGUCGGUGUGCAGCAAGAGAAAAGAGAGGAGGAAACAUGUGGAAAGACCCAAAGAAUGAAGACACAAGAGCAUGCCUGAAUGCAAUGGGAAGUAGAUCAGUUGACCUUUGCUGAAUAACAAGGUGGACCUAAAACUGGGUGACUUGAAACAGUAAGGCAACUGAGACUAAAGAAAAUCAAGUGACUUUCCUACUGACAGAGUUCAUCAUUGGUAAUGCCAAAUGCUCUGUAUUGAACCCCACCCCAAAGUUCUUAUGCAGAAAUCUUAAACCUGAGUACCUCAGAAUGCACCGUAUUUGGAGAAAGACUCUUUACAAGACUUAAAAUGAGGUCACUGGGGUGAGCCUUAGUCUAAUAUAAAUAGUGUCCUUCUAAAAAGAUGAAAUCUGAAGAAAGAUAAAGCACACAUGUGAAGAUAAAAGCAGAAAUCAGAGUGGUGUUCCUCCAAAGCCUUCGAAGAAAAGGGAUUGCCAGCAAACCGCCUGAAGCUUGAAGACAGGUGUGGGACAGAUUCUCCCUCACAGCCUCAGAAGGAACCAGCCCUGACAACACCUUGAUCUUGGACUUCUGAGACACAUUUUUGUUGUGUAAGCCACCCUGUCUGUGGUACUUUGUUAGAGCAGGUUUGGCCAGCCAUUGCAGCAAGGCUCAAUGCAUGUCUGUCUAAAACACAGCACUUAUCACCCACUUACCAGCAGGCUGAGAGCCAAGAAGGGCACACACACACACACACAGACACCACAUACACACACAUCACACACACACACACACACAAAUAUACAUGCACAUUUAAGUUACUACAAAAUUUCAGAAACUAAAGCUCAUGCACAAUGGUCCAAAGACCACUCUCAGGCCAUCAUGUAGCAUCCAUUAUGGAUUAUUGUAUUCAUAGUUCUAACCAAUGUGACGAUGUAUUUUCCAAUCAGUUAGAGAAGAGAUAGAUUGAAGAAAACGUCAGCUAACAUGUGCCAAACAUUAUGUUUAUGACUUGCAGUGAUAACAGAACAUUUCUUUCUAACAAAACCCUUCUGAUUUACAAAUGUGUAUUACAAUAUACAAUGAACAUAAACUGUCUCCAAAAUAUCCUGGAAUUUCAAAAGAAUGGUAGUCUAUAGAAGUCAAAGGUAAAAUCUUAGUUACCUAAAAUUAUUCUUAGGAUUCCACUGUAUUGCUUUCCUCUUUUCAAAUUUAUUUUUUAAAUUGGCAUAUAAACUUGUAUACAUUUAUCAUGUAAAACGUGAUGUGUUAUAGCAUGUAUACUUUGUAAAUGGUUAAAUCUAGCUAAUUAACAAAUGUUUUACCUCACAUAGCUAUUAUUUUUGUGAUGAGAACACUUAAUAUCCACUCUCUUAACAUUGUUCAAGAGUAUAAUAUGUAUUAUUUUCUAUAGUCACCAUGCUGUACAAUAUAUCUUUUGAACUUAUUCCUCUUAUCUGAGUGUAUAUAUGUAUUCUUUGACUAACAUCUCCUCAAACUUUUCUUUUCCCUAACCAGUCAGCCUCUGCUAACCAUUAUUCUAUUUUCUACUCUUACGAGACAAACAUUUUUAGAUUCUACGUAUGAGUGAGGUCAUGCAGUCUUUGUCUUGCUGUGACUGGCUUAUUUCAAUUAACAUGAGGUUCUCUAGGUUCAUUCAUGUUGUCACAAAUGGCAGGAUUUCCUCACUUUUUUUUUAUUGCUGAUUGGUACUUCAUUGUGCGUAUGUACCACAUCUUCUUUAUCCAUUCAUCCAUUAAUGAAUAAUUAGGUUGUUUCCAUAUCUUGGCCAUUGCAAAUAAUACUGCAGUAAAUAUGGAAGUGCAGAUAGCUCUUUGAUAUACUGAUUUCAUUUCCUUUGAGUAUAUACCCAGUGUUGUGAUUGCUGAGUCAUAUGGUAGUUCUAUUUUUAAUUUUUUGAGGAAUCUCCAUACUGACUUUCAUAAUGGCUGUACUAAUUUACAUUCUCAUCAACAUCAUGUAAGAGUUCCCUUUUCCCAUGAAAUUAAACAGCAUUUCAAUGCAGCAUAAUGAUGUAUAUAAUGAUCUCCCAAAAUAUCACAAAAAUAAGGAUAAUUUUUCAAGUGUCCUGUCUUAGAACACAGGAAAAUAUGCUUUAUCACUAAGAAAAAAAACUUUACCAAGCAUAUUUAUAAUUCCAGAUUUAAAGGCUUUAAUGAGCCAAGUUUUAUCAAUCCCCCAACAUUUAGUCACUCUAGAAAUCAUAAUUUUCUGAGGUUCGAGGAGGUAAGUUUCGCCUGAACUAAUCCUACCACGUUCUCUCCUCCACUAUCACUUAGGCACAGCCACUUGGAGAACAGAAGAGUGUUAAUCACUUUUCCUAGAGUCGUUUUUAAUACUGUUUUCUAGGGUGCAGAGUGACCAGUUUUCUGCCUCUAAUUAGCAAACUCAUCAUUUGAAGUGUGACCUAGGCCAGGCCAGCGGACUUUCAAUGAAUUUCUUAAAGAUGCCUCACUCUGGUUGUGCUCCUCGCAAGUUAAAUCCACCCCACGGGUAUUUACAAGAAGCCUGCACAAGGACAAGGAAGGGCAGAUGGGGCAAGAUCCAUGAGUCUUGAACUAUGAGUUUUUAGGGCUGCCAUGACAAGGCAACACACACCGAGUAGCAUAAACAACAGAAAGUCACUGUCUCUCAGUUCUGGAGGCUGGAAGUUCAAGAACAACGUGUGGGUGGCAUCGAUUUCUUCUGAAGGCUAUGAGGAAAGAAUCAGUUCCAAGCCUGUCUCCCUGGCUUGUAGAUGGCCACCUUAUCCUUGCAUCUCUUUACAUUGUCUUUCCUCUAUGUGGGUCCCUGUGUGCAAAUCCCCCCUUUUUAUAAGGACACCAAUCACUCAAUCAAGACCCAUCCUAAGGACCCCACUGUAACUUGAUUACUUCUGUUGCAAUCUCUAUCUCCAAAUAACUUCACAUUCUGAAGUACUAGGUGUUAGAACUUCGAAACAUGAAUUUGGGAGAAGACAUAAUUCAGCUCACAGCAGGUGUUAUUUCAGCUUUAAACACUGUUCUUUACCCCAGGUUACUCAAAGCAGUUAAUAAAAAUUAUAAGAAAGAGGGUGUGUGCUUCCUGAGCUCUGAGGAAAUGAGGGGAGAGAAUAUGUGACAUACUAAGCUCUGAAUUUCUGUGACCCACAGUCUCCUUCAGUUUCCUUAAAUGAAUGCAUUGCUUCUCUCCAAGGAAAUGAACUUGAUUGACUCUAGCUAGUAUUAAGGAAAACGGCCUCUGGGCUUCCCUUAACUGUAACUUAAAGAAAUCCUAGUGUGAUAAAACCAUGUUCAUAUUAGUGCUUUGCUGAGGGCUAAGUACCAUGUUCUUGCUCAUGAGAUGAGGACAGUAAAAUUGCAAGGAUGGAAUCACAUAUAGCAGAUUUGAGCAGCGAGUGUGUGAACGUAGCAAACAGCUGAAAGAGGAAUUUGUUUUUAAAGUUCAGCUAACAUUUAUCAGUUAUGGCUGUUACCAAGGUUAAUAUUGCUGCUUGCCAGGAUGUAGGUGAAGAAAACAGACUUCUGAAUCAGACAACCCUUGGAAUAAAGUCCCUGCUCUGAGAUCUACUUGUGAUAAUCCUGCUUAAACCAAUAAAACCUCUCUAAGUCUCAGGGUCCUUGUCUGUAAAAUGGUUUAAUGAUUCCCACCCCCACCAGGAUUCAUAUAAAAAUUACACAUGUUCACUGACAUUUAUUAAAUGUUAAAAAUGCACAAAAAUAGAAAAACAAAACAAAAUUAAAAGGUUGCAUCUUUCACCUAUUGCACAAUUUAUGUUGGGGUCUUCACUGAAGACUCAGCAUAUCAUUAUGCUGUUAAACAAAAAAAGAAAAAUAUAUUAGCUACCACUUUUCUUCCCUCCACGUUCAAUGUUCCUAUAUUAAUGUCUUCAGUGAGGAAGGAUCUGUAUAAUUAGCCAUUCAGGUAUGAAUUCAUUUUCAAAGUAGAGAAAGAUGAUUAAUUUGUUAAUGGAUGAGUAUAUUCACUGGUUAAUGAAUUUUAUAACUUGGCUAAAUUCUGUACCUGUUCAAUGAGGUUUUAUUUUAUAUGUAUUCACUAAGCACAGAUUUUCAUUAUGUAAAUUGCACUUUAUGAAUAUUUAUUUGGUAAAGUUCCAUUUUUUAACAUUUAAAUGUAUUUAAUGCCCUUAGAUGAAUUUUGAUGUUCUAUGGAAAGCAGUAAGAACAGAAGUAGUGAUGCCUGCCAUGAGUCUUUGUUUGAAGAAAAACGCUCUACACCAUUAAAAAAAAAAAGUGAGGGCCCCACUUCUCAGAGCAGUGGCCUGUAAAAAGCAAAAACAGAAACAACAACAAAAAAGAAUUUUAGUGAAUGAAUUAGUAAGUUGCUGUACGAGUAAAAUGAUUAAUAUCAGCUGGUGGACACAGAUGGGAUUCUUAAAUGAGCAGACCCAAUACAUUGUUCUUUCAGAACUUUUAAGUAUAUGUGCACAGCUUGUUUUUGUUUUUGUUUUUUGCUUUUUUUUUUUUUUAAGACAAAGUCUUGCCCUGUUGCCCAGGCUGGAGUGCAGUGGAGCGAUCUCGGCUCACUGUAAGUUCUGCCUCCUGGGUUCACACCAUUUUCCUGCCUCAGCCUCCCGAGUAGCUGGGACUACAGGUGCCUGCCACCACGCCUGACUAAUUUUUUUGUAUUUUUAGGAGAGAUGGGGUUUCACGCCGUGUUAGCCAGGAUGGUCUCGAUCUCCUGAUCACGUGAUCCACCCGCCUCGGCCUCCCAAAGUGCUGGGAUUACAGGUGCGAGCCACCGUGCCCGGCCAGAUUGUGUUAAACAUUUAACAUGGAUUGGCUGAUGUAAUCUUUACAACACCUCUAAUGACAUUAGACCCCCUUUUACAGAUGAGAAAAGUAAGUUGGAGAUGCAAUUGAUUUCUUAAGUCACUAAGAUGCUGUGAGACUAAGGAUGACUCCGUGUAGCCUGACUCUGGAUAUCAGUGAUUGUGCUUUGUAUGAGAACAGGUGCAGCCUGGAAUAGAGUACAUGGGUUUCCAUUCAGGAACAAGGUCUAUCUGGGGAGAGGAAAAAAUGUCAUAAUAGUGAUGGGUUAAAUUUAUUAAGGGCUUAUUAUGGGUGGGCACUUCACAUGUCAUACCCUAGUUAUUCCUCAAAAUAAACCAUUGAAAUGGGUAUUAUCAUUCUCAUUUUACCGCUAAGAAAACUGAGGCACAGAGAAGUUCUCUUUGUUCAUUUAGGCUGUUAUAACACAACAUGAUACUGGGUGGCUUAAACAUCAAAAAUUUAUGUAUCACAGUACUGGAGGCCAGGAAGUCCAAGGUCAAAGGGUCAACAGGUUUCAUGUUUGCUGAGGGGCUACUUUCUGGUUCAUAGAUGGCUAUUUUGUCACUGUUACCUCACAUGGAAGAAAGUAGAGGGAUCUAUCUGGAACCUCUCUAAUGAGGGCACUAAUCCUAUUCAUGCAGGCUCCACCCUCAUGACCUAAUCAUUGGCCAAAGACCUUACUUCCCAAUAUCACUAUAUUGAGGAUUGGGUAUCAACAUAAAUUUUGGGAAGAACACAGACUACAGCAGAAGUUAUGUAACUUGCCCAAGUUCAAAUGGUUACCAAGUGAUGAAGCCGGAAUUGCAGGCUCAUUACCGCACUGCUAGACUCCCACUUGAGAAGGGGGCUGAGUCUGCUCACAUCUUUCUUGCUUUCAGCAGAAAUAGCUUAGACACAGGAAUAAGUCUGAUUCUGAAUAGGAUGUCCUAGGGUCCACUCUAGGGUAGGGAUGUCAGAAUGACAGAGGCAUGAGCUGACACUUAUGGAUUCUUCUCAGGAUCCCAAAAUUAAUAUUUUAUUUAACUUUUAGUUUGUCUUUUCAGCGGAAGCCACAUGCAGAAAAGAAGUAUAAAAUGGCAUACUAUAGUAUGCAGUAUCCAGAUAGACCUUGUUCUUGAGUGGAAACACAUCUACUCUAUUCUAGGCUGCUCCUCUUCUCAUGCAUACUAUAAUGGCAUAUUAUAGUAUGUAAGCCAUUAGCACUAACUUAUGGUUCAGGAAAGCAAUCCAUUGCUGUGCUACUUCACAGCACCCUUUUACCUCAGUCAUGGGCCCAUCUCACUGUGAGAUGCAGUCACCUAGUCCAAGAUUGCCCCCCGACCCCAAAGAAACCUAGCAUUAUCAAGAAAUUAUGAUGCAUUGUGUCCAUGUACUUGUUGACAUCGGAGCUUGUCAUUCCCAAAGGCCCAUUAAAAAGGGAAGUGGAGCCAGGCAUGGUGGCUCAUGCCUGUAAUCACAGCACUUUGGGAGGCUGACACGUGUGGAUCACCUGAGGUCAGGAGUUUGAGACCAGCUUGUCCAACAUAGUGAAACCCCAUCUCUGCUAAAAAUACAAAAAAUUAGCCAGCUGUGGUGGUGGGUGCCUGUAAUCCCAGCUACUCAGGAGGCUGAGGCAGGAGAAUCGCUUGAACUUGGGAGGUGGAGGUUGCAGUGAGUCAAGAUCACACCACUGCACUCCAGCCUGGGCAACAAGAGUGAAACUCCGUCUCAAAAAAAGAAAAAAAAAAAAAGAAAGAAAAAAAAAAAAGAAAGUGAAGUGGAGAACAAUAAUUUUAAAAAAGGGUUUUUAGGAAUAACAAAAUAUUCAACAAUACCCCUUUUAAGAAAACAAUAAGAUUCAUUGUCCUUAAGAGAAUAGUACAAUACUUCCAGAAUUUAUAGCAACAGGAAAUGGUACCUGCUGGAUGGAUUGUAUAAUUCAGGUAAUAACCAAGGGACCAUUCAAUGACACUUUCCAGGUGUUCUGGCAUACUUCAAAGGAGUCAUUUGAAGACCAAAUAGGCAAGGAAAUAAACAGAGCCAGAGGAGUAUCACAUGGCCUAAAAUAUGAUUUCUCAACAGAACCUAGAUUCAAUGGAAAAAAUUAAAAAAUCUUUAAACAAAAAUACAAAACAAAACAACAUAAUAACACUCCUAUAACAAGGUCUACCAAUAAUAUUAGUCAUAGGUGGGACUGCCAACUUCCCAGGGGUCAUCUAUACUUCCUUAGAAAUAAAUAAAACGAUGGAAAUUUUCUACUAGAAGAUUUUGAAAACCCUGAGGAUCAUUGAGGACUUAUAAUGUGGAACACAGCAGAGAUGGUGAGGGCAGCAACUUAAUUAAAAUAUCAGGCUCACACAUGAUCAUUUAUUUAGGUACUUCUGCACAUCAGCAAUGUGGACCUUUACAUUCAUGAUUUCAUUUAAUCCUCACCAUAAGUCCCAAGAAAGAAAAAUCAUUCUUGAUUCCAAUUGGGGAAAUCAAACACAGAGCAAUUAAGAAAAUUGUCUAAAGUGACACAGCUCAUUAGCAGUAGAACCAAAUUUUACCCACUUCAAGGUAAAGACCAUUCUGUUCUGAGACUGGAACCCUGACUUUAUUAUUCAAUUUUAAACAUGGCAAAAACAGCAACAACAACAACAGUAACUUGUUCUUUAACUUUCCAUGACGGGUUUAAGCAAAGAACAAUUAGAAAUAGUUGAAAACGAAGUAUGCUUCAUUGAAGAUCAAAUCGUAGUACCAAAGAAUGACCUCCUUGACUCAUUCUUCUCCCCUUCAG
rnacentral:lncRNA from 1 species